rnacentral:rRNA from 1 species
UACGGAGGGUGCAAGCGUUAUCCGGAUUCACUGGGUUUAAAGGGUGCGUAGGUGGGCAGGUAAGUCAGUGGUGAAAUCUCCGGGCUUAACUCGGAAACUGCCGUUGAUACUAUCUAUCUUGAAUAUCGUGGAGGUUAGCGAAAUAUGUCAUGUAGCGGUGAAAUGCUUAGAUAUGACAUAGAACACCCAUGCGAAGGCAGCUAACUACACGAUCAUUGACACUGAGGCACGAAAGCGUGGGAGCAAACAGG